UGGGGUGUAGCCAAGCGGUAAGGCGACGGGUUUUGGUCCCGUUAUCCGAGGGUUCGAAUCCUUCCACCCCAGCCA
rnacentral:tRNA from 1 species